AGGAACCGUAUCCAACUACGUGUGGUCCAAUCAUAUUCGCCCUUUGACUUUAGCUCCGCCCCAAAAGCAAACGGCGGCCAUGACACUUUCUCCUCAUCGGAUCAUUGUUUACAUCAAACGGAGUGUUACAGAGGAAGUAUCUUUUAUAAGGUUGAAUGAAAUGGAUUGUAAUCUUAUUGCUACAUCUGUGAAGUUGUAAGAAGAAUGGAAAAGCGAAUUGAAAACAUUAUACAGUUCUAUCUCUGCAGUCAUCUACCUAUGAUGCCCGUUGUAUUGGUUCGGUAUCGGUAACUACCGGUACAAUCAGCGGCCACUUGUCUGCAUUUUCAAUACUGUUUUUACAAUCGUGUCUAUUUUAAUGUAACUAUCUCUUAUAUUCGUGCUUUGUUGUAUGUUGUAAGACGUCUGUGAAGUUGUGAAAUCGUGUGAAGGUGAUGCAGGCUACAGUUCAGUAACUUUAACAUGCUACUGGACAGUAGUUUAUUUUCGGUUCCAGUGUUUAACACAGUUUGAUUCAACAUGUAUCAGUCAUGGAUUAGCUAAUACAUGCAUUAUGUUUUCUAGUUUAAUGGUGUGAUAAUCGCGAUAUUUGCCUUGCAUUUCAAUCUACACAUGAAUAUGGUUCUGUAAUGUAAGGUUGGCUAUUCUGUUCCCUUGACAUUCUGCAAGCAUGAAUACUUUACACUAAUGGAAGAUAUGUGUUCAUCAUACUAGUUGGCCAUGUAUUGAAGGAUACACAACUUUCCAUAGAUGCAGUGUGGACUUUUUACAGAUGAAACCCCUUCCAUUAUGACACUCCCUUCCUGUAUCUGUCAUAAAGGCCAAUGCAUUCUUUGUCCUUUAGUUACACAACUAAAUCUAAUAGCUGUCACUUACCUUUCAUGCUGUAGGUCUGCUCUCAUGGUGCUGAGAAUGCUUAGUACUGUAUCUGUCACUUACCUUUCAUGCUGUAGGUAUGCUCUCAUGGUGCUGAGAAUGCUUAGUACUGUAUCUGUCAUGUAUGUAUUCUCUGUAUGUAUUAGGUAUGAACCCUUGGACAUACUGGUGCCUCCUGUACUCCCUCCUGCCUCACGUCUGGCCCCUGUCCCUGAUGAUCUACCCCAGGCCCUCUUGUAUUCACCCCAGGCUUCUGAACUUGCCCCAGUGUGGUGAAGACCAGAAGAGGGUGAUGUCCUUCCUGCCUCUCUCUCGCUCUCCCUUAAACACAGCUGGUGAUUCCAGAGAUGUGGAGGUCAUCUCUCAACAAGAAGCAGCAGCAGUGGAUUGACCAGACACUGUUUACCAGGAGCCUCCUACAGAGCUCACAGUUCAUCACUGUCCUUUCCCUGGUGGGGAGAAGACCAGAAGAGGGUGAUGUCCUUCCUGUCUCCAAGGCCUGCCUCAGAAUGUGCUGGGGCACACUCCAAACUCCACGAUGGCCAAGACCAAAGAGCUGUCAAUGGACACCAGAAACAAAAUUGUAGACCUGCACCAGGCUGGGAAGACUGAAUCUGCAAUAGUAGGGCUGCAGGGCUCUCCAGAGGGUGGUGAGGUCUGCACAACGCAUCACCGGGGGCAAACUACCUGCCCUCCAGGACACCUACAGCACCCGAUAUCACAGGAAGGCCAUAAAGAUCAUCAAGGACAACAACCACCCCAGCCUGUUCACCCCGCUUCCACCCAGAAGGUCAACCAGAUAUUUUUUGUUGUACUUCUCAGUCUGUCUUUUUCCCGCCCUCCUGGUUUUGACCCUUUCCUGUCCUGACUCUGAGCCCGCCUGCCUGACCACUCUGCCUUCCCUGACCCUGAGCCCGCCUGCCGUCAGGUACCGUUGCCCCACCUCUGGUUUACUGACCCCUGCCUGCCUUGUCCUGUCUAUUGCCUUCAUACCUGAUAGUAUAGUAUACUAUCUAUACUAUGCUAUCCAUACUAUACUAUACUAUACUAUACUAUACUAUACUAUCUAUUGCAUCUUAGCUGCUGUGACACUGCUCCUCCAUAUAUAUAUAUAUACUUCUUUGAGUUAUAUAUAUAUACACUGCAUUCUACACUAUCUAUUCUAUACUAUAUAUUGCAUCUUAGCUGCUGUGACACUGCUCCUCCAUACAGUGCCUUGCGAAAGUAUUCGGCCCCCUUGAACUUUGCGACCUUUUGCCACAUUUCAGGCUUCAAACAUAAAGAUAUAAAACUGUAUUUUUUUUGUGACGAAUCAACAACAAGUGGGACACAAUCAUGAAGUGGAACGACAUUUAUUGGAUAUUUCAAACUUUUUUAACAAAUCAAAAACUGAAAAAUUGGGCGUGCAAAUUGCCAUCAUACAAACUGAGGUAGCAGACUUUGUGAAAAUUAAUAUUUGUGUCAUUCUCAAAUCUUUUGGCCACGACUGUAUGUGAGGCCUUUGAGACAUCAUACUAAAUAUGUUGACUUGCUGGUCAAGGGAAAUGCAAGUUUACUUCUUUGAGUUGUUGUGUCAGAGGCGCUAAGCCUUGUGGGAUAUUAAUGAAUGUGAACUCGGCAACCGUAAUUCCAGAACAGUCCCACUGUGGUAAUAGUGUGAUGUGUAUCUUCUGACAGACUCUAUGCUGAGUAAAGUCAUGUUUUUAUCCUAAAACGUUUUUCUACCAGAACCAAAGUGUGGAUGCAGUCACUAUUUAGAGCAGUCUAAUCUCAUUAACCCAGAACUAUAAUCUUGUGUGAUUAAGUUCUGGGUCCAUACGAGUCAGAAACUACAGUAGGUGAGUCACAUGUUAUUUGUUACAGCAGUUUCCAUUGAAAUGAACAGAGGAGUUUUUGCAAAUCAACCCUUUCUGUCUUGACAUCUGAAGGAGGAGUCUCUGAAAACCUAUUUAAAUCAGUCUGUCCUGACUCAGCUCAACAGUCUCCAGUCUACCAACUGGUCUCUGUAACUUCAUCUUUGUCUCUGUGGUGUACAGUCUUCAGGUGAUGAUGGGGGUAUUGAAUCAUCUCUCUACUCUCCUCCUCCUCUCUCUCCUUCCUCCUGCUCUCUCUCAUGUAGUGGAGAACUUCAGUGUUGUUCCACAGUGCAAGAAGUUUUUCCUGGAUGGGACAACUCCAAAUCUCCCAGGUAUUUUGGUUGGUGGGACUGUCCAGAACCAGAACCGCUACAAGCCGAUUUGCCAGUUGUUCAACAACAUCUACAGGUUUGCAACUCUGUACGACACGACCAACAGGAUCCCUGUGUUCUCAGCCUACACCUUCUCUGGUCCUCCUACAGACCCCAGACCACAUCAACCCUGGAUGAUCGAGCCCCAGCUCAACGAUGUAAACAACAGCCAUGAAAUGAAGAUUAUGGGAGAACACUCUCAACACCAGGCUGGGAACUACGACUAUAUUAACUCAAUACAAAAUAAAGGGGUGAACAGAGGUCAUCUCUUCCCAAAUUCACAUGCUCAUGACCUUGAUACUCAGAGGUCCACCUUUACCCUGACCAACAUCGUUCCCCAGGUGGUGUCCUUCAACAAUGGCAGCUGGAGAGAAAUGGAGGAACAUGUCAGAAAAAAGCUGAUGAUGGCCUGUUUUAGUAACAACAGGAAGAUAAAGGCCUAUGUGGUGACUGGAGCAGUGCCCAGUAAGAGCAACACACUGAACAACACACUGAACGCACUUAACAACACACUGAAGAACGCACUGAACGACAGAGUGAACAUCCCAGAUCUCAUGUGGACAGCCUACUGCUGUUUGGACAAGAAGAAAAAGUGGAUGGCGGAAGCACACUGGGGGAAGAACAAGAAGGUCAAGAGGAAAACAUUGAACCCAGAAACCUUGGGAGCACUCGAAAAGAAGUUGAGCGAAUUUCACCAAGGUGGUCGUGUCCAGGUGUUCCCAAAGGAUUGUCCAAGAGGUCCUAAACCUACCACUCCCUCUAACCAACCCAGUUGGAAGAAUUCUCUUAAAAUAAUUUCUUCCAAAGUCAGGAAUCUUUACAAUUCCAUGAUGAAUAGAAUUGGAUGAUCAAGGUACAGAUGCUCAGACUAUAUCAACAAAUUAUCAACUAAACUCUGUUGAAAUGAUGUUGAUAUGCAACCACUUGUUAUGGUUAGAGUAAUGAUUAUAAGGGUUAUAGUGGUAAUCAGGGUUAUAGUGGUAAUAAGGGUUAUAGUGGUAAUAAGGGUUAUAGUGGUAAUAAGGGUUAUAGUGGUUAUAAGGGUUAUAAGGAUUAUAGGGGUUAUAAGGGUUAUAGGGGUUAUAGUGGUAAUAAGGGUUAUAGUGGUAAUAAGGGUUAUAGUGGUUAUAAGGGUUAUAGUGGUUAUAAGGGUUAUAAGGAUUAUAGGGGUUAUAAGGAUUAUAGGGGUUAUAGUGGUUAUAAGGGUUAUAAGGAUUGUAGGGGUUAUAGUGGUUAUAGGGGUCAUAGUGGUAAUAAGGGUUAUAGUGGUUAUAGGGGUUAUAAGGGUUAUAGUGGUAAUAAGGGUUAUAGUGGUAAUAAGGGUUAUAGUGGUAAUAAGGGUUAUAGUGGUAAUAAGGGUUAUAGUGGUUAUAGGGGUUAUAAGGGUUAUAGUGGUAAUAAGGGUUAUAGUGGUAAUAAGGGUUAUAGUGGUAAUAAGGGUUAUAGUGGUAAUAAGGGUUAUAGUGGUAAUAAGGGUUAUAGUGGUUAUAGGGGUUAUAAGGGUUAUAGUGGUAAUAAGGGUUAUAGUGGUAAUAAGGGUUAUAGUGGUUAUAGGGGUUAUAAGGGUUAUAGUGGUAAUAAGGGUUAUAGUGGUAAUAAGGGUUAUAGUGGUUAUAGGGGUUAUAAGGGUUAUAGUGGUAAUAAGGGUUAUAGUGGUAAUAAGGGUUAUAGUGGUAAUAAGGGUUAUAGUGGUUAUAGGGGUUAUAGUGGUUAUAGGGGUAAUAAGGGUUAUAGUGGUAAUAAGGGUUAUAGUGGUAAUAAGGGUUAUAGUGGUUAUAGGGUUAUAAGGGUUAUAAGGGUUAUAGUGGUAAUAAGGGUUAUAGUGGUAAUAAGGGUUAUUGGUGGUUAUAAGGGUUAUAAGGGUUAUAGUGGUAAUACUUGUUAUAGUGGUUAUAAGGGUUAUUGGUGGUAAUAAGGGUUAUAGUGGUAAUAAGGGUUAUAGUGGUAAUAAGGGUUAUAAGGGUUAUAAGGGUUAUAGUGGUAAUAAGGGUUAUUGGUGGUUAUAAGGGUUAUAAGGGUUAUAGUGGUAAUAAUUGUUAUAGUGGUUAUAAGGGUUAUUGGUGGUAAUAAGGGUUAUAGUGGUAAUAAGGGUUAUAGGGGUUAUAGUGGUGAUAAGGGUUAUAAGGGUUAUUGGUGGUAAUAAGGGUUAUAGUGGUAAUAAGGGUUAUAGUGGUUAUAGGGGUUAUAAGGGUUAUAGUGGUUAUAGUGGUAAUAAGGGUUAUAGGGGUUAUAGUGGUAAUAAGGGUUAUAGUGGUAAUAAGGGUUAUAGCGGUUAUAGUGGUAAUAAGGGUUAUAGUGGUAAUAAGGGUUAUAGCGGUUAUAGUGGUAAUAAGUGUUAUAGUGGUAAUAAGGGUUAUAGGGGUUAUAGGGGUUAUAAGGGUUAUAGUGGUAAUAAGGGUUAUAGUGGUAAUAAGGGUUAUAGUGGUAAUAAGGGUUAUAGUGGUAAUAAGGGUUAUAGUGGUAAUAAGGGUUAUAGUGGUAAUAAGGGUUAUAGUGGUAAUAAGGGUUAUAGUGGUAAUAAGGGUUAUAAGGGUUAUAGUGGUUAUAGUGGUAAUAAGGGUUAUAGUGGUUAUAGUGGUUAUAAGGGUUAUAGGGGUUAUAGUGGUUAUAGGGGUUAUAAGGGUUAUAGUGGUAAUAAGGGUUAUAGUGGUAAUAAGGGUUAUAGUGGUAAUAAGGGUUAUAGUGGUAAUAAGGGUUAUAGUGGUUAUAGUGGUUAUAAGGGUUAUAGUGGUUAUAGUGGUUAUAAGGGUUAUAGUGGUAAUAAGGGUUAUAGUGGUUAUAGUGGUUAUAAGGGUUAUAGUGGUUAUAGUGGUUAUAAGGGUUAUAGUGGUAAUAAGGGUUAUAGCGGUUAUAAGGGUUAUAGUGGUUAUAGUGGUUAUAAGGGUUAUAGUGGUUAUAGUGGUUAUAAGGGUUAUAGUGGUAAUAAGGGUUAUAGCGGUAAUGAGGGUUAUAAUGGUAAUGGGGGUUAUAAUGGUACCCAACUCUCUGAUAAGUGUAUCUACCCAAUUCUUCUAUGUCUAUAUAUCUAUAGUGUCUUCUCUUCCCUCUCUGCCCAUCUCUUCUAUGUCUAUAUAUCUACAGUCUCUUCUCUUCCCUCUCUACCCAUCUCUUCUAUGUCUAUAUAUAUCUAUAGUAUAUACGCUCCUCUCCCCUCUAUACUCUUCUCUGUUUAUAUCAAAUAUAAAAAGUAUGUAAGGGGACAGAAUUCUAUUUUAAUAAAUAAAAUACAGUUUAAAUAUUUGA